CACCCGUGGUUUNUGCGCCGUGGCUAACGCUUUAAGUGCCCCGCCUGGGGAGUACGGCCGCAAGGCUAAAACUCAAAGGAAUUGACGGGGGCCCGCACAAGCGGCGGAGCAUGCGGAUUAAUUCGAUGCAACGCGAAGAACCUUACCAAGGCUUGACAUGCACGGCGGCACUGCAGAGAUGUGGUGGCAUUUAGUUGGUCGUGUGCAGGUGGUGCAUGGUUGUCGUCAGCUCGUGUCGUGAGAUGUUGGGUUAAGUCCCGCAACGAGCGCAACCCUUGCCCUAUGUUGCCAGCACGUGAUGGUGGGGACUCGUGGGGGACUGCCGGGGUUAACUCGGAGGAAGGUGGGGAUGACGUCAAAUCAUCAUGCCCCUUAUGUCUUGGGCUUCACGCAUGCUACAAUGGUUGGUACAGAGGGUUGCGAUAUCGUGAGGUGGAGCGAAUCCCUUAAAGCCAGUCUCAGUUCGGAUUGGGGUCUGCAACUCGACCCCAUGAAGGUGGAGUCGCUAGUAAUCGCAGAUCAGCAACGCUGCGGUGAAUACGUUCUCGGGCCUUGCACACACCGCCCGUCACGUCACGAAAGUUGGUAACACCCGAAGCCCAUGGCCUAACCGGU
rnacentral:rRNA from 1 species